AAGAAUUUAGUUUAAUAAAAACAUUAAUUUGUCAAAUUAAAAAUAACAUAAGUUAUUUCUUU
rnacentral:tRNA from 1 species